rnacentral:rRNA from 1 species
ACGAACGCUGGCGGCGCGCCUAACACCUGCAAGUCGAACGAGCGAGAGAGAGCUUGCUUUCUCGAGCGAGUGGCGAACGGGUGAGUAACGCGUGAGGAACCUGCCUCAAAGAGGGGGACAACAGUUGGAAACGACUGCUAAUACCGCAUAAGCCCACGGCUCGGCAUCGAGCAGGGGGAAAAGGAGCAAUCCGCUUUGAGAUGGCCUCGCGUCCGAUUAGCUAGUUGGUGAGGUAACGGCCCACCAAGGCGACGAUCGGUAGCCGGACUGAGAGGUUGAACGGCCACAUUGGGACUGAGACACGGCCCAGACUCCUACGGGAGGCAGCAGUGGGGAAUAUUGCACAAUGGGGGAAACCCUGAUGCAGCGACGCCGCGUGGAGGAAGAAGGUCUUCGGAUUGUAAACUCCUGUUGUUGGGGAAGAUAAUGACGGUACCCAACAAGGAAGUGACGGCUAACUACGUG